AGGUAUGUGCGGUGGCAGUAUCGUAGCCAGUGAGGUUAAUCCGAGGUGCGAUUAUUGCUGAUUGAAAACCUUUCCCAAUACCCUGCCAUGACGAAUUGAAAUAUAGUUGGCACUGGCAAUUUUUGACAGUCUUGAUGGAGA